UGUGUCAACGCCAUCCAUUGAAUCAGUCGCAUGUACCUCACGUGGCGUGCACUUUUGUUUUCGCCGACUCCGCGCUGGGUUGGAGUCCCCCAAAACUCUCGCGUGCCGCGCACGCCCGAGUCAUCCGGUCGUCCGGUUUUAACCCAGUCCGCUCGACUGCGGGAUGUUAUGCCUCCUCGCGGACUGCAACCCAUAUAAACGCGGGCAUGGCGGCAAUCUGGACCUCUGCGCGACCGCCGCCCUUCUUCUCCCACGAUGUACGCCGGCUUAGCCGCUCCUCCCUUUCCCUCUAUGUAUAUAUUUCUCUUCCUUCCUCGCCUUCACUAGGGUUUCGCCGCGCUCACCUCGAGGGAAUUCGCUCCCUCCGAUGCUUCUCCAGGCCACGAGGUGGCAGUGGGGCUCCGCCGCUGCUAAAGAUAGCGGUCGGCGGAGUCACCGAGCUCCUCCGGCUCUUCUCUCCCGAUAAACGGAGAGAUGAAUCAAGGAUUGGACGAGAGGUGUCUCUGGCUCGCGGUGUAGAUGAUGUUGUUCAAAUUCUAAAGUCUGACUACGAUCGCGCUUAUUUCCUUACAGGGAAUUUCAAUUCAGAUAUAUACGCUGAGGAUUGCUUAUUUGAAGAUCCUACUAUUAAAUUCCGUGGUAAAGCUCAAUAUUCACAGAAUCUGGAGUUGCUCGUGCCUUUUUUUGAUCAUCCAUCUCUCAAACUAGAAAAGAUUGAGAAGGGUAGUCAUGAUGAAGUGGACUUCAUUUUAGCAACAUGGAAACUAAGAACAUACUUAAAAUUUCCUUGGAGGCCUCUCAUUGGCAUUAAAGGAACAACCACCUAUGAUUUGGACGAGAAUUUUAAUAUUGUUAGGCAUGCUGAAAGUUGGAAUGUUUCUGCACUUGAAGCGAUUGGACAGAUAUUUAAAUUGGGUUCAAAAGAUGGUGAUGAAUGACUUCCUAUACUUAUAUAUAUUACAGGUGCAAAUGGACGGGAAUCAUAGAUUUGCAUGAAUUUCUUAUAUCUCAUAUGAAUCAGGAAUGCUGAACCAAAAUCACCACCAUUCCAACGGAGGCCAAUUAAUUAGUAUCAGUGACGAGAUUCAGAAGCCCAGAACGCCAAGAUCCUGCUGCUGGGGUGCAUAUUAAAAGCCGGCGCAUCCCUCAUCUUCGUCCACCAUUUCAGUGAAUACGAGUGCCCAUUGAAGUGUAUGAGUCAAUUAGGAUUCCCCAACAGUUUACCUGUUUGGGAGGAUCUAAGCAUCCAGUGUUGCUGGUUAGGCAGAAGAGGUGAAUCGCCAUGGUUUAUAUUCAUUUCGGUAAUUAAUAUCUGAAGGUUAGGUUGCUGUGCACAACAUGAGAAUACCGCUAUUUUGCAAGUAUUCUUGGCUCCAUCUACAGAGAAUAUGCUUUCCCA